GGAAAUAAAAAGCUUUGUUUCAUACUCAUCUUUUAUCUUCAAACCCAAAUGUUUUUUUCAUUCUACAGUAAAAAUAAAGGGAUUGUCCUCACUGUUUUUGUACUUUUGGAGGGAACUGAUGUGUAAUAAGGCAUAAGAACUUGUUUCUGGGAAGGGAAUAAAAAUGUGGUAAUAUUUAAGGGCCUUAUUUACACUCCUGACUGGGCUGGGGGUGGGGUAAUAAUGAGAUUUUUGAGUUUUGUUGAGGGUGAAGAGCCGCUCUUGGUCAGCAACUUCACCUGUAAACUAGCUUAGCUUAGCUACAGACAAUAAAUAGCCACCACAAUAUCCUCCACUCUUCUCUCACAGUAAAAGAGAUGGUCAAAAUUAUGAUGCAACUAUUCGUAAUGCUGUGUGGUUGUUUGCAAUCUAUCCAGAAGAGGAAGAAGCAGAAGAUGAGCUGAGGAGAUUCAACUUUGCUGCCCGAGUCUGGCAGCGCUGUCGUCCUGUGAGCUGCUGUCAACAAGCUGCACUUUUAUUCUUUCCACCGAGCCGCCCACCAUACCGACCAGUCUACAGAACACCAUAUCACCCAGUCCACAGGACACCCAGCUGCCAGAGCCCUGAGAGAGCACAACUGGCCUGGUGUGAAGGUUCAAUUAUCAGGUGUAUGGGUGACAUACCAGAGUUCAAAAGAGGACAAAUUGUUGGUGCACGUCUUGCUGGAGCAUGUGUGACCAAGACAGCAAGUCUUUGUGAUGCAUCAAGAGCCACGAUAUCCAGGGUAAUGUCAGCAUACCACCAAGAAGGACCAACCACAUCCAACAGGAUUAACUGUGGACACUGUAAGAGGAAGCUGUCUGAAAGGGAUGUUCGGGUGCUAACGCGGAUUGUAUCCAAAAAAACCUAAAACCACGGCUGAUCAAAUCACGGCAGAAUUCAAUGUGCACCUCAACUCUCCUGUUUCCACCAGAACUGUCCGUCGCUGCACCUCUAGUGUAUCGGUUUCGUCUUCAGCAGACAUGCAGGUAAAAAUAUCAGACCACAAUCCCCGCACUAGUGCACACAGUACAAACCCGCUGCUCAUUACUGUCUCACUUCUGCCCAAAAGUCUGGCAGCAAAGCCCAUCAGAGCAUCGCCAGAUACCUUCAGCUUCUCCUGCACUCCUGUCACACCUCACAGCCUUCCACCACCCACCACCUUCACCUCCUCACACCACUCACUUCCAUUAGACUCACCACAUUCUCACUACUUUCUGUUUCACGAGACAGUAAAGGAACACGGUGCUAACCGUACUGUUAAACACGGUCUUACAUUCUCCCUGACCUGCACCUCCUCACCUCGCACCUCGUCCUGCCCGUCAAUUAGCCAUAAUAGCUUUCCUAUUUUUCCCUCCAGCCAAUUAUGGCGUCAGACAGCCCUGCUCUCGCUGAUUCCCACACACCCACAUGCUGAGUAACUGCUACAAGAAAGUGCGCCCAAAAUAGAACUGCCAUGUUCCAAUGCAGCAGCGCUCCUCGCCAUUCAGAAACUCUACCAGUAAUAAAACCCAAAAAUAAAUAAAGAAAUUCAACACACUGCCUGCCUCGGCUUCAGCAAACAGGAUGCUGAAACCUGUUGUCCACACUGAGAGCUUUUACACCAGGGACGUAAGAAAAUAUCGAAAUAUCAAAGUAUAGCAAUACGGUUUUGAUUUUAAAACUAAACUAUUGUUUAGUUCUCCAGCACAGAGACUGGAGACUGGAGUAGUAUUAGCAUUAGCUGCUAACUGAGCUAAGUGCUAGCUCUUUUGCUGUUCAGAGGUGAGUAUAGUCAGCCUGUAGACUGCUGCUAACCCAGCUAGUACUGCUGGUGCAGCAUUAGCAUUAGCCGCUAGCCGUGCUAAGCACUAGUUAGCUCUUUUCGUUCCGUUCAGAGGUAAGUAUAUCGAACUGUAGCCUUCCUGUUUACCGUGUUAAAACAAGCUAUGUGGGACAAACCACUAACUAAUAUCGCCCUAGCUUACCAGAACACUCAGGGUUCCUCAGUAUUAGCAUUAGCUGCUAAUUGCGCUAAGCGCUAGCUCUUUUGCUGUUUAGAGGUGAGUCUUUUCGGCCUGUAGACUGCUGCUAACCCAGCUAUCACUGCUGGAGCAGCAUUAGCAUUAGCCGCUAGCCGCGGUAAGCAUUAGUUAGCUCUUUCGCCGUUCAGAGGUGAGUAUAUCGAACUGUAGCCUUCCAGUUUACAGUGUUAAAACAAGCUAAUGUGGGACAGACCGAUAGCUAAUAUCGCUCUAGCUUACCAGAACAUUUAGGGUUCCUUAGUGUUCCGGUAAGCUAGGGAGAUAUUAAAUAAACGGAAGCGCUUUACUCACCCAAAUAAACUACAGUUUAGUUCUCCAGCACCGAGACUGGAGUAGUAUUAGCAUUAGCUGCUAACCGUGCUAAGCGGUACUUUUGCUGAGUAUUAUCGGGCCUGUAGACUGCUGCUAACCCAGCUAGUACUGCUGGAGCAGCAUUAGCAUUAGCCACUUACCGUGCUAAGCACUAGUU